rnacentral:rRNA from 1 species
GGGGAAUAUUGGACAAUGGGCGAAAGCCUGAUCCAGCCAUGCCGCGUGUGUGAAGAAGGUCUUCGGAUUGUAAAGCACUUUAAGUUGGGAGGAAGGGCAGUAAGUUAAUACCUUGCUGUUUUGACGUUACCAACAGAAUAAGCACCGGCUAACUUCGUGCCAGCAGCCGCGGUAAUACGAAGGGUGCAAGCGUUAAUCGGAAUUACUGGGCGUAAAGCGCGCGUAGGUGGUUUGGUAAGAUGGAUGUGAAAUCCCCGGGCUCAACCUGGGAACUGCAUCCAUAACUGCCUGACUAGAGUACGGUAGAGGGUGGUGGAAUUUCCUGUGUAGCGGUGAAAUGCGUAGAGAUUUGGAGGAACACCAGUGGCGAAGGCGACUUUCUGGUCUGCAACUGACGCUGAGGCGCGAAAGCAUGGGGAGCAAACA